UACGAACCGGACAAACGUUAUUCGGAAUUAUUGGGCUUAAAGGGUGCGUAGGCGGUGCGGUAAGUGAGGUGUGAAAUCCCUCGGCUCAACCGAGGAAUUGCGCCUCAUACUGCCGUGCAAGAGGGAGACAGAGGUAAGCGGAACUGAUGGUGGAGCGGUGAAAUGCGUUGAUAUCAUCAGGAACACCAGUGGCGAAAGCGGCUUACUGGGUCUCUUCUGACGCUGAGGCACGAAAGCUUGGGUAGCAAAAGGG
rnacentral:misc_RNA from 1 species